CAGCCGCCGCGGUAAUACGAAGGGUGCAAGCGUUAAUCGGAAUUACUGGGCGUAAAGCGUGCGUAGGCGGUUUGUUAAGUCUGUUGUGAAAUCCCCGGGCUCAACCUGGGAACUGCAUUUGUGACUGGCAAGCUAGAGUGUGUCAGAGGAUGGUGGAAUUCCCGGUGUAGCGGUGAAAUGCGUAGAGAUCGGGAGGAACAUCAGUGGCGAAGGCGGCCAUCUGGGACAACACUGACGCUGAGGCACGAAAGCGUGGGGAGCAAACAGGAUUAGAUACCCCUGUAGUCCCUGUCUCUUAUAC
rnacentral:rRNA from 1 species